rnacentral:rRNA from 1 species
CCUACGGGUGACAGCAGUGAGGAAUAUUGGUCAAUGGACGCGAGUCUGAACCAGCCAAGUCGCGUGAAGGAAGACGGCCCUAUGGGUUGUAAACUUCUUUUGUAUGGGGGUAAAAGGUUCCACGCGUAGGAUUCUGUAUGUACCAUACGAAUAAGGAUCGGCUAACUCCGUGCCAGCAGCCGCGGUAAUACGGAGGAUCCGAGCGUUAUCCGGAUUUAUUGGGUUUAAAGGGUGCGUAGGCGGUUGGGUAAGUAAGUGGUGAAAUUUUGAGGCUCAACCGCAGAAUUGCAUUUGAAACUGGCCGUCUUGAGAAUAGUUGCGGUAGGCGGAAUGCGUGGUGUAGCGGUGAAAUGCUUAGAGAUCAUGCAGAACACCGAUUGCGAAGGCAGCUUACCGGCCUACUACUGACGCUGAGGCACGAAAGCGUGGGUAUCAAACAGGAUUAGAUACCCUUGUAGUC